rnacentral:rRNA from 1 species
CCUACGGGCGGCAGCAGUGAGGAAUAUUGGUCAAUGGCCGUAAGGCUGAACCAGCCAAGUCGCGUGAAGGAAGAAGGAUCUAUGGUUUGUAAACUUCUUUUAUAGGGGAAUAAAGGUAUCCACGUGUGGCUAUUUGCAUGUACCCUAUGAAUAAGCAUCGGCUAACUCCGUGCCAGCAGCCGCGGUAAUACGGAGGAUGCGAGCGUUAGCCGGAUUUAUUGGGUUUAAAGGGUGCGUAGGUUGUUUUUUAAGUCAGCGGUGAAAGUUUGUGGCUCAACCAUAAAAUUGCCGUUGAAACUGGAAGACUUGAGUGUGUUUGAGGUAGGCGGAAUGCGUGGUGUAGCGGUGAAAUGCAUAGAUAUCACGCAGAACUCCGAUUGCGAAGGCAGCUUACUAAGCCAUAACUGACGCUGAAGCACGAAAGCGUGGGGAUCAAACAGGAUUAGAUACCCCAGUAGUC